AGAUGUGUGGUGUUGGUGAAGGCAGUGACCAAUAGUUGACGUUCAAUCAACUGGCUGCUGGGGUCCAGCCUCUUUAAGAGUUGGGGUCAUCAAGAACUAGGGUACCUGGUAGCAAAAUAAGAAAACACAGAAUUGAGUUACAGUAUUGACAGGCUGGCCUUUUUUGGUGUGUGAGCCCUUGAAUUCGGGAAUCAGGGCGCUCACCUAGACUUGACUCAGCCCCAGUCUUUUAUUGAAAUCAUAAAAGGAAAUUGGAUUGUGAAAUUCAUAGGGGGGGUGGGUAAAUGCUUCUUUAUAUUCCUGUGCCAACGGUUUUUUAUGACACAGAAUAUUACAGAUUUAGAACAGAAAAAAGGGAAGUAUGCAAUCUCAGACAUAAAAAUUUAACAGCAAGUACAAUUUUUUAUAGCACCUGACUACCAGUCUCCACUAUGGUUUCAUAAAAGGGCAAGCUAGAGGUCAUACUGCUGACCCUGCAGUCUUUAUAAUUUUUGGACCCCAUCUGACUUUCUACAAAAACAUCCCCAACCAACCUGUAUAGAAAAUUCCAAGAGGAUUACCACCAUCAACCCAAAAGCCAAGGAAUCCAUUGGUAACUUUCUGGAAAAUAUCUGUAUAUUAUUCCAUCAUCAAUUUUAAAUAAAAAUAUCCUAUUUUACUAUACAGAAUUGAGACAAAGACUGGAGGAACAGCUGCAGAAUUACUCAUCUCUGCCAGUGGCCCUAGGUUAGUUUCAUUUCCACCUAGAGUGAGUGACUGUAACAUAUAUUUCUCUUGAAUUCAUAAACAGCCUUCACUUUAAUAUUAUUGGUAACAUCUAAUUUCUGGAUAUUAAGCAGUCUACUAUUAGAUUUUGCCAGGUCACCAAAUACCAGUUUAAUCAAGGAAGGAAGAAAGAGAAGAAACAGCAAAUAGAUUAAAAGAGUAAUAAAUACUAAGAAUAAUUGCAAAAAUGACAUCAUGAGUUGCUUGCAUCAAAUAAGCAGGCCUGGGGUCUCUCAGUACUCAUACAGGGGCCCACAAGAGGCCAUUGCCUCAUGCUCUAAACACAGUACCCGAGGCAUGUUUACAUUUCUUGUCAUCAGGGAUCCCAGGCAUCUCGAGUUUAAUGUGGGGUGUCACCAACAAGUGGCCCCAAAUGGCUCAAACCAUCUGUAUGUAUGCAAUCACAACCCUGCUCUCCUGUGCAGUAACAAAAUCAUUGAUUUUUUCUUUUAAAUCAAGAGAAAUCAUAGCACCAGUAUUAUAAAAUCUCCAUUCUUUUGCACAAAGUUCCCAAUAGCUUCUCUUUUUCCCUCCCCACUCUCACUAGGUCAAUCACCCUUUAACCUUGUUUUGAACCUCAGAGCACAGUUUCAGGAAGCC